AUUGAACGCUGGCGGCAGGCCUAACACAUGCAAGUCGAGCGGAUGACGGGAGCUUGCUCCUUGAUUCAGCGGCGGACGGGUGAGUAAUGCCUAGGAAUCUGCCUGGUAGUGGGGGACAACGUUUCGAAAGGAGCGCUAAUACCGCAUACGUCCUACGGGAGAAAGCAGGGGACCUUCGGGCCUUGCGCUAUCAGAUGAGCCUAGGUCGGAUUAGCUAGUAGGUGAGGUAAUGGCUCACCUAGGCGACGAUCCGUAACUGGUCUGAGAGGAUGAUCAGUCACAAUGGAACUGAGACACGGUCCAGACUCCUACGGGAGGCAGCAGUGGGGAAUAUUGGACAAUGGGCGAAAGCCUGAUCCAGCCAUGCCGCGUGUGUGAAGAAGGUCUUCGGAUUGUAAAGCACUUUAAGUUGGGAGGAAGGGCAGUAAGUUAAUACCUUGCUGUUUUGACGUUACCGACAGAAUAAGCACCGGCUAACUCUGUGCCAGCCGCCGCGGUAA
rnacentral:rRNA from 1 species